GAUGAACGCUGGCGGCGUGCCUAAUACAUGCAAGUCGAGCGAAUGGAUUAAGAGCUUGCUCUUAUGAAGUUAGCGGCGGACGGGUGAGUAACACGUGGGUAACCUGCCCAUAAGACUGGGAUAACUCCGGGAAACCGGGGCUAAUACCGGAUAACAUUUUGAACCGCAUGGUUCGAAAUUGAAAGGCGGCUUCGGCUGUCACUUAUGGAUGGACCCGCGUCGCAUUAGCUAGUUGGUGAGGUAACGGCUCACCAAGGCAACGAUGCGUAGCCGACCGGAGAGGGUGAUCGGCAACCCUGGGACUGAGACACGGCCCAGACUCCUACGGGAGGCAGCAGUAGGGAAUCUUCCGCAAUGGACGAAAGUCUGACGGAGCAACGCCGCGUGAGUGAUGAAGGCUUUCGGGUCGUAAAACUCUGUUGUUAGGGAAGAACAAGUGCUAGUUGAAUAAGCUGACACCUUGACGGUACCUAACCAGAAAGCCACGGCUAACUACGUGCCAGCAGCCGCCGUAA
rnacentral:rRNA from 1 species